rnacentral:lncRNA from 1 species
ACUGUCUCCCCACAUCCAACUAUUAACCUGAUCUCACUUCUUGUCUUAAUACCCUAACAUUCCUAGGUUAGACUUGUCUGGACUUGGGGCAGGCUUUUGUUUUCCUGAUCGGUUCCCGUGAAAAGUUAUGGAACUGAGAGACUCAUCAGGAGAUGGUUAAGCAGCUUGAGCCCUCCUGAGUUUCCCCAGAGGUAAGGGUCAGGGGUCAAGAUGGAUAGAUCCUCAAGGCUUCUUCACCCCAGACCUACUUCUGUAAAUAC